UACGGGAGUGGCAAGCGUUAUCCGGAUUUACUGGGUGUAAAGGGAGCGUAGACGGAUAGGCAAGUCUGGAGUGAAAGCCCGGGGCUCAACCCCGGGACUGCUUUGGAAACUGUUUAUCUAGAGUGCUGGAGAGGUAAGUGGAAUUCCUAGUGUAGCGGUGAAAUGCGUAGAUAUUAGGAGGAACACCAGUGGCGAAGGCGGCUUACUGGACAGUAACUGACGUUGAGGCUCGAAAGCGUGGGGAGCAAACAGGAUUAGAUACCCCGG
rnacentral:rRNA from 1 species